UUUUUAAGGUUCAUCCAUGUUGGAAGGUUGUAGAUUUUGCAGGUGACUUGCUCGUGUGUGAGUUCCAGCUCCACUACCUCUAGCUUUGUGACCUCAGAGAAGUGCCCUGACCUCCCUGACCUCAGUUUCCUCAUCUGUCAAUAGUGUUCCCAGCCUCAACCAUCCGCUGUGGAUGAGAACGAGGACGGACAGAGGUGAGGAAACCGAGGCAGAAAGACUAACAAAUGUGCCCAAGACUACACAGCUGGAGGUGGAAGAGCGGAGCUUUGGACCCAGGCAGGCCAGCCCCAGAGCCCCUGCUCUUGGCUACUAAGUGACCCUCCCUCGAGGCUGACCCUGUCCUCAUGAGCACCCUAAAUGGAAGUAUUACCAUCACCCCCUUUUAAAGACAAGAAAAACAAGCCUGCACCGGAGCUCACCUCGGGUGCCAGCCGGGCUUCGGCAACACCGCCUUCAUGCUCGGGACCCUCCCUGCUGCCCUGGCCGCCCCUCCCAACCUCUACUCUCUGCACUACACAGGUGCUAGGGAUUGAAUUGUGUCCCCCCAAAAAGACAUGUUUAAGUCCUAAGCCCCACUUCUAUGGUUGGGAACUUACUGGUAAAUGGGCUCUCUGAAGAUGUUAUCAGUUGAGAUUGGAGUAGGGUAGCCCCCUCCCAUCCGACUGCUAUCCUUAUAAAGAGAGAACAUUGUGGCAGCAGACAGAGACAGUGACGAAGGGAGGCAGAGGCUGGGUUAUGCCACCACAGUCCUCUACGCCUUGCAUCGCCGGCCACCUAGCAGGAGUCAGAGGAGAGACGCGGAACAACUUCUCCCCUGUAAGAGGGAGCACAGCCCUGCUGACACCUUGAUUUUGGACUUCUUGCCCCAGAGCCAUGAGAUGAUACAUUUCUGUCGUUUGAGCCAUCACCUAUGGGACUUUGUUACAGCAGCCCUGGCAAACCCAAACCACUGGCCUCCUUCACGUUCCUGAAAUCUGUGUUACUCCCUUCUAGCCCAGGGACUUUGUGCAUUCAGUGUCUUCCCAGGCUUUCCUCCCACCCCAUCUGGCCCAUGCAGCAGGAUGGAUUUUCUCACACGCACUCCAUGGAGCCUGGUAGCUCCCAAGACGAAGGUGAUAAGAGGAAGCUUUUCGUAUUGUAGCUGGAAGAAGACCCUCAGCAAGAACGUGGGCUGGAAAUAGCCUCAUAAGAGGUUUCCCUUCCAUAUG